CGACCCCAGGUCAGACGGGACUACCCGCUGAGU
rnacentral:rRNA from 1 species